GCCCGCUCAAGAAACUCAAAGGAGUUAGACGGGGGCCCGCACAAGCGGUGGAGCAUGUGGUUUAAUUCGAUGAUACGCGAGGAACCUUACCUGGGCUCAAAUGUAUGUUGACGUAUUCUGAAAGGGAUACUUCUUCGGACAAUAUACAAGGUGCUGCAUGGUUGUCGUCAGCUCGUGCCGUGAGGUGUCGGGUUAAGUCCCAUAACGAGCGCAACCCCUAUCAUUAGUUGCCGUCAGGUAAUGCUGGGGACUCUAAAGGAACUGCCUACGCAAGUAGUGAGGAAGGCGGGGAUGACGUCAAAUCAGCACGGCCCUUACGUCCAGGGCUACACACGUGCUACAAUGGCCGAUACAGAGGGCAGCUACCUGGUGACAGGAUGCAAAUCUCCAAAGUCGGUCUCAGUUCGGAUCGGAGUCUGCAACCCGACUCCGUGAAGUUGGAUUCGCUAGUAAUCGCGCAUCAGCCAUGGCGCGGUGAAUACGUUCCCGGGCCUU
rnacentral:rRNA from 1 species